rnacentral:ribozyme from 1 species
AGAUUUUUUUUUUUUUUUUUUUUUUUUUUUU